GGAGUACUCCCUCCGUCCCAAAAUUCUUGUCUUAAAUUUAUUUAGAUAUGAAUGUAUCUAGUCAACUUUUAGUAUUUAGAUACAUCCAUUUCUGGACAAAGCUAAGACAAGAAUUAUGGGACGAAGGGAGUAUAAU
rnacentral:pre_miRNA from 1 species